UUCAGAUCAUCUGAAAUGAAGCCCUACACAGCCCAAGGACACGCCCACGUCUGCGACAGAACGCACACUGAGAGCUUCCUGUUGCCUGGGAAACGCGUUAAAUGUGCUACAGAGACACAGACUUGUAUCCAACAUUUCAGAGGUAGUCAGUAUGCAGCAGGAAAACAAAAUAAAACGCAGGCUGAAAUGGGUGGGAUCCAAGGAAUCAAAGCAGUAGAUGGACGACCAGGAGCACCCCAGGUUAUCUUCAGGAAACAGAGCGACAAAACGCAAAGAGACAGGAUUUCGCCAUGUUGCUCAGACACUGGUCUCGAACUCCAGGACUCAAACUGGAACUGGGCUUAAACUCCUGGACUCCCGCCUCAGCCUCCCAAAGUGCUGGGAUUACAGGCGCCCGGCCUCAGGGCCCUUUUCUUAGAGGGAGUGGAGAACUGGCCCAGGUGGGGGAGUAAGACAAGCUGCCACCUAGCCGGGCUGUGCCUGGCUGCCGUGCCUGAAGAGCCCACCGUGGAUUCUCUCCAUGCUGGUCGGGCAGCAGCCGAGGGACUGACCAGAGAGGAAGAGCAGGAUCCCAGAGGAAGGGACAGUGAAAGCAUUAAGAUAAGCAGCAUUCCACUAUAAAUCUUACACAAAAUGCCACAUCCACUGAUCACACGACCUUGAAAAAUGAAGAUAGGCAGCGUCGCACUUUCAAUCUUGUACUUCAGGGAAUGAACUCCAUUGCCUUUGUGUGCACGAAGCCGGAAGCACGACCACUCUUCA
rnacentral:lncRNA from 1 species